AUUGACGGAAACUGGUGACAACAAGAGCUGUCACAGUCAAAUUCUCCGAAUUUCUAGCAUUUCUACUAAGGUUAAUGAAGCUUUGGGCCAAGAGAAUCUCAUUUUGGUUGACAGCAAAGGAAAUCAACUUGUAGAUUCUGAUGGCACAAGAGGUUCUGCUUUCUGGCGACAACAUGCCAGAAAGGUCUUUGCUGUGCCCGAGGCAGAAAUUGAAAGGCUGCGAAGCCACAAAAGAAGGGGAGAAAGCAACCAGACUGGAGGACAAUCUGUAAGUUGUGUCCAGAACGUUGACUAUGUCAACAGCAAUCAAUUGACCCUCACACCCCCACUCAGCCUGACUCAGAAGGAGGCAAUUAAAACUGCCUUCAGCUGUCUAAUUUGUACAGAAAUGAUGAAGGAACCCAUUUUCGGUGAGUGCUGCCAGAGCCUGCUAGGAUGCAGUGCGUGUGUGGACAGGUGGAUGGAGGAUCACAACUAAUGCCCGAAGUGCAGAGGGGCUGUCUUUGAUGUUCAUAGGCAUUCACUGGUGGGGUUAGAUGAAGCCUUGGCACCUGUUUUCUUAAGAAGCGCAGUAACACUUUAUUUUACAGUGGUACAACCUGUUAUUACACAUUGUUACACAGGUUUGUACAGAUAGAUACAGUACACUGUAACAGCAACACCA